rnacentral:rRNA from 1 species
GACAGAGGGUGCAAACGUUGUUCGGAAUUACUGGGCGUAAAGCGAGUGUAGGCGGUUUGAUAAGUCGGAUGUGAAAGCCCCGGGCUCAACCCGGGAAGUGCACUCGAUACUGUCAAGCUAGAGUAUCGGAGAGGUUGGUGGAAUUCUCGGUGUAGAGGUGAAAUUCGUAGAUAUCGAGAGGAACACCGGUGGCGAAGGCGGCCAACUGGACGAAUACUGACGCUGAGACUCGAAAGCGUGGGGAGCAAACAG